rnacentral:rRNA from 1 species
UCAGGCUGAAGACCUUACCCGAUUAGCUGAGAGGUGGUGCAUGGCCGUCGUCAGUUCGUACUGUGAAGCAUCCUGUUAAGUCAGGCAACGAGCGAGACCCACGUCCACAGUUGCCAGCAUACCCUCCGGGGUGAUGGGUACAUUGUGGAGACCGCCGCUGCUAAAGCGGAGGAAGGAGUGGGCAACGGUAGGUCAGUAUGCCCCGAAUCUCCCGGGCUACACGCGGGCUACAAUGGUUGGUACAAUGGGCAUCUACCCCGAAAGGGGAAGGAAAUCUCUUAAAGCCAAUCGUAGUUCGGAUUGAGGGCUGCAACUCGCCCUCAUGAAGCUGGAAUCCGUAGUAAUCGCGUUUCAACAGAACGCGGUGAAUACGUCCCUGCUCCUU